CCUACGGGUGGCAGCAGUGGGGAAUAUUGCACAAUGGGGGAAACCCUGAUGCAGCGACGCCGCGUGAGUGAAGAAGUAUUUCGGUACGUAAAGCUCUAUCAGCAGGGAAGAAAAUGACGGUACCUGACUAAGAAGCCCCGGCUAACUACGUGCCAGCAGCCGCGGUAAUACGUAGGGGGCAAGCGUUAUCCGGAUUUACUGGGUGUAAAGGGAGCGUAGACGGCAGCGCAAGUCUGGAGUGAAAUCCCAUGGCUUAACCAUGGAACUGCUUUGGAAACUGUGCAGCUAGAGUGCAGGAGAGGUAAGCGGAAUUCCUAGUGGAGCGGUGAAAUGCGUAGAUAUUAGGAGGAACACCAGUGGCGGAGGCGGCUUACUGGACGGUAACUGACGCUGAGGCUCGAAAGCGUGGGGAGCAAACAGGAUUAGAUACCCGUGUAGUC
rnacentral:rRNA from 1 species